rnacentral:rRNA from 1 species
AACUAUAACGGUCCUAAGGUAGCGAAAUUCCUUGUCGGGUAAGUUCCGACCCGCACGAAAGGCGCAACGAUCUGGGCACUGUCUCAACGAGAGACUCGGUGAAAUUAUAGUACCUGUGAAGAUGCAGGUUACCCGCGACAGGACGGAAAGACCCCGUGGAGCUUUACUGCAGCCGGAUAUUGAAUGUUGGUACAGCUUGUACAGGAUAGGUAGGAGCCUUGGAAACCGGAGCGCCAGCUUCGGUGGAGGCAUCGGUGGGAUACUACCCUGGCUGUAUUGACCUUCUAACCCGCCGCCCUUA